rnacentral:rRNA from 1 species
UACGAAGGGGGCUAGCGUUGUUCGGAAUCACUGGGCGUAAAGCGCACGUAGGCGGAUCGCUAAGUCGGAGGUGAAAUCCCAGGGCUCAACCCUGGAACUGCCUUCGAUACUGGAGGUCUCGAGUCCGGGAGAGGUGAGUGGAACUGCGAGUGUAGAGGUGAAAUUCGUAGAUAUUCGCAAGAACACCAGUGGCGAAGGCGGCUCACUGGCCCGGUACUGACGCUGAGGUGCGAAAGCGUGGGGAGCAAACAGG